AAAUUUGCAAAAUCUACAUCAACUGCAUCGGAUACCAGUCUUUCGAAUAUCAAGAAGUCAAUGAUCAGUUGCGCCAUCCAAACACCCUCUAGAACUGAAGAUUUUUCAAGCCGAAAUGGAGAAAGCAACUCCAAUGAUUCUCCCUCCACAAAGAGUGGCUCCAAAUCGUCAAGUUCGCCAGUGAUGAACAACACCAUGACACUCUUACUUCCGCAGAAAACACCUCUGCCCUAGAUGGGUCGCCAUCACCGCCAGUGGUUGACAGUUCCAAUCAUGAUGUCAGUAAUGAGUCGGAAAAUAGACGAAGCUUGGACGAGACAUCAGCAUCUAAUUCCUCAAAAAACAAUGAAUCGGAUGGAUCCAUAUCUGUUCCUCAUCCUACUGGUAUCAUCUUACACCGAGUUGGCUACUACACCAUACCAUCAUUGGAAGAACUUACACCGUUGGUUGACGGAGACGGCAGAUGCAUAGUUGAAAAUUUCACUAUCGGUCGAAGAAAUUAUGGAAACAUAUUUAUCCGGACUCAUUUGAUGUCUCUGGUUUAGACAUGAUUCCAUAGGUAAGUGUAAGGAGAGUUGUGUCCUCCAAGAACUGAGCAAAAAAAGG
rnacentral:lncRNA from 1 species